UACGGGGGGGGCAAGCGUUGUUCGGAAUUACUGGGCGUAAAGGGCGCGUAGGCGGCCUUCUAAGUCGGACGUGAAAUCCCUCGGCUUAACCGAGGAACUGCGUCCGAUACUGAAAGGCUUGAAUCCGGGAGAGGGAUGUGGAAUUCCAGGUGUAGCGGUGAAAUGCGUAGAUAUCUGGAGGAACACCGGUGGCUAAGGCGGCUCUCUAGUACGGUACUGACGCUGAGACGCGAAAGCGUGGGGAGCGAACAGG
rnacentral:rRNA from 1 species